GNGAUGUGAGGCUGUUAGUUACCACAAGGG
rnacentral:piRNA from 1 species